ACCCCCACCUCCUCUGCCACUGCCAGCAUCUUCCGCCCCCGUGGAUCCCCUUUUGGCGAUCAAGCAAAGGAAGGGGAUGCGGCAACAGAAACCCAGCGAACCUGCUACCGAUGACGUAAAAGCUCGAGCGGUGGAGGAAAUGAUGGCCAGGAUCAAGAGUGGGGUUGCCCUGAGACCAGCAAAGAAGGACAGGGCUGCAUUGUCCCAGGAUCGCUCACCAGCAGCCAGCA